rnacentral:misc_RNA from 1 species
GUAGGUGAACCUGCGGAAGGAUCAUUAAUGAGUAAGGGUCUUCCAGGCCCGAUCUCCAACCCUUUGUAUAACUACCAUGUUGCUUUGGCGGGCCCGUCUUUAACCGGACCGCCGGGGGUCUUUGACCUCUGGCCAGUGCUCGUCAGUAGCCCCAUCACAAAUUCUUCAACCAUGUUAAAUCUGAAACUAGUUAAAUAAACUAAAACUUUCAACAACGGAUCUCUUGGUUCUG